AUUGAACGCUGGCGGCAGGCCUAACACAUGCAAGUCGAGCGGAUGAGGGGAGCUUGCUUCCUGAUUCAGCGGCGGACGGGUGAGUAAUGCCUAGGAAUCUGCCCGAUAGUGGGGGACAACGUUUCGAAAGGAACGCUAAUACCGCAUACGUCCUACGGGAGAAAGUGGGGGAUCUUCGGACCUCACGCUAUCGGAUGAGCCUAGGUCGGAUUAGCUAGUUGGUGAGGUAAUGGCUCACCAAGGCGACGAUCCGUAACUGGUCUGAGAGGAUGAUCAGUCACACUGGAACUGAGACACGGUCCAGACUCCUACGGGAGGCAGCAGUGGGGAAUAUUGGACAAUGGGCGAAAGCCUGAUCCAGCCAUGCCGCGUGUGUGAAGAAGGUCUUCGGAUUGUAAAGCACUUUAAGUUGGGAGGAAGGGCAGUCAGUUAAUACCUUGCUGUCUUGACGUUACCAACAGAAUAAGCACCGGCUAACUUCGUGCCAGCCGCCGCCGUAACAC
rnacentral:rRNA from 1 species